GAGUUUGAUCAUGGCUCAGAACGAACGCUGGCGGCGUGCCUAACACAUGCAAGUCGAACGGAGGUAAGGAGCUUGCUCCUUACUUUAGUGGCGCACGGGUGAGUAACGCGUAGAUAAUCUGCCUGAUGAUCUGGGAUAACACUUCGAAAGGGGUGCUAAUACCGGAUAAGCCCACGGGGUCUUUGGAUUCUGCGGGAAAAGGGGGGGACCUUCGGGCCUUCUGUCAUCAGAUGAGUCUGCGUACCAUUAGCUAGUUGGUAGGGUAAUGGCCUACCAAGGCUACGAUGGUUAGCUGGUUUGAGAGAAUGAUCAGCCACACUGGAACUGAGACACGGUCCAGACUCCUACGGGAGGCAGCAGUGGGGAAUUUUGCGCAAUGGGCGAAAGCCUGACGCAGCAACGCCGCGUGAGUGAUGAAGGCUUUCGGGUCGUAAAGCUCUGUCAAUGGGAAAGAAGUGUAUUAUGGCUAAUAUCCAUGAUACUUGACGGUACCCAUAAAGGAAGCACCGGCUAASUCCGUGCCAGCAGCCGCGGUAAUACGGGGGGUGCAAGCGUUGUUCGGAAUUAUUGGGCGUAAAGAGCGUGUAGGCGGUUUGUUAAGUCUGUUGUGAAAGCCCUGGGCUCAACCCAGGAAGUGCACUGGAUACUGGCAGACUUGAAUACGGGAGAGGGCAGUGGAAUUCCUAGUGUAGGAGUGGAAUCCGUAGAUAUUAGGAGGAACACCGGUGGCGAAGGCGGCUGCCUGGACCGAUAUUGACGCUGAGACGCGAAAGCGUGGGUAGCAAACAGGAUUAGAUACC
rnacentral:rRNA from 1 species